ensembl:lncRNA
UAUUGAUUCAAAGACAUGUGGCUACUAAAGCUGGAGGCCAAGGACUGGCCAGUCCUUGAGCAAGAAGCCAGGCUCACUGGGAGGAGAGAAGGAGGCCCUUCCACUCAGAGGGCUGACCUUGAGCCAGGCAACGUGCCUGGGCUGCCCUGCCAACAGUGCCAUCAGUAGAUCCUCCCCUGACCUUGCAGAUGAAUAUCUUUAUGCUGACAUUGCAGGUGUGGGACUUAGAGAAGUCAGGUGAUUCGCCAAAGGUCUCCCUGCUUCUGAGUGGCAGGGCUGGGAACAGCAAGAGUCUGUCUGACCACGCAGGAAGGGGCCGGGUCACAGAGAGAGAAAUAGGGAGAUGGUAGAAAUCUCCCUGAGAUUUCUGAGAAGUCUGAGAAAACUCAACAGAAAGAGAUAAGAAGAAGAAAAAUGUAACAGUGAUGUUAAGAGAUUGGGAGACAGAAUGAAAUGUUCCAGAUACAUAUUCUCUCCAGGAGAAGGAAAUAGUGAAGAAAGAUUGAAGAAGCAAAUCAAGUUCCAAAAACUGAAAUAAUAAGAAAUCAACACCUAGGCACAUCAAUAUAAAACUGAAAAAACAGCAGGCGAGGAGACAAAGAAAUGAAACAGGAAUGCUAACCAGGCUGGCAGUGGGCCACCGGGAAGAAACAAGCAAUGUCAGGAGACGACGGGGCAAAGUCACCACGUAACUGGGGAAAGAUGAGCUAUCCAUUUGAUCACUGAUGUCCAGGUGAACAGUCAUUCAUGAAAGACGAUGAAAUAAGACAGUUUUCAGCAAAACCCGAAUGUUUACUACUCACAGCCUCCCAGCUAAUAUUUAAUAAAGUAUCUUCUCAGUAACA